AUUGAACGCUGGCGGCAUGCUUUACACAUGCAAGUCGAACGGUAACAGGUUAAGCUGACGGGUGGCGAACGGGUGAGUAAUGCAUCGGAACGUGCCCGAUCGUGGGGGAUAACGCAGCGAAAGCUGCGCUAAUACCGCAUACGAUCUGAGGAUGAAAGCGGGGGACCGUAAGGCCUCGCGCGAUCGGAGCGGCCGAUGUCAGAUUAGGUAGUUGGUGGGGUAAAGGCUCACCAAGCCAACGAUCUGUAGCUGGUCUGAGAGGACGACCAGCCACACUGGGACUGAGACACGGCCCAGACUCCUACGGGAGGCAGCAGUGGGGAAUUUUGGACAAUGGGCGAAAGCCUGAUCCAGCAAUGCCGCGUGCAGGAAGAAGGCCUUCGGGUUGUAAACUGCUUUUGUACGGAGCGAAAAGGCUCUCUCUAAUACAGGGGGCUCAUGACGGUACCGUAAGAAUAAGCACCGGCUAACUACGUGCCAACCGCCGCGGUAA
rnacentral:rRNA from 1 species